ensembl:lncRNA
UUUAGAUCAGUGCUCAUAAUGUGUUCUGGGGAAGCUGUAAAACAGCUAAUGUGUUGGAGGGUCUCAGCGGCUUAGAAUGCCGCUAAAUUGGACAGAAAAGCAGUGAGGGGAGUAAGGGAGUUGGAAAGCAGCUGAAGGAAAAGUGGAGAAAGGAGGAGAAAGAAUGGCAGGGGGGAAGAGGAGAAAAGAAGAGAUGAGUGUUUCUUUUUUUAAAAUCCUCUGCUAAGAGAGCCACAAAAAGAGAGAAUUACACAGGAAGAAAAAUUGCCAUUGUCGCAGACAGAGACAGUGGUAAAUGGCGCGUCGUUUUGCCGUAAUUUACAAAUCGUGGAGUGGAAACAAAAUUAGAUUAAGUGGGUCCGUUGAAAUGGACCUGCUAAACAUCACUAUUAACUAGAAAGUGCAUUUUCUGAAGAAACUGCAGUGUGAAUGCUUGAAUCUGAAUGUAUGCACUGAAAUGAAUUAAUUGCUGAAUUUUGAGUUAAAAAUAUUGAAUGAGAUUAAAAAAAACAAAAAAAAAAAACGAAUUUAACCUGAAAACAAAGGUGCUGAACUGCUAAAAGCUGAAGGUUACACAGAAGAAGGAGUUGGAAAAAAACUGAAAAUGUUUUAAAUGUAAAUUAGAAAACCCUAAGAAAUGAGAAAAGAACAUUUAGAGUCAGAAAACAUCUGAAUGAAUAUUAAAAGGUCAUAUUCUUUGAAUCACUGAAUGACUCAAAUGUGAUCCCUCCACUUUGAUCCACACAGUUUAAAAAGUUUAAAUGCCUGAGCUUUGAAAGAUACGGUGUUGGAAAGAGAACAAUAAUGGCGACAAUUUGAGGGUAAAAUGAUGGCUGUAACACUGUGGACACAGCAGCAGUUGAAAGAGAAGUGCUUAAGAUGAAUCUUGGUACAGUGGCAGGCAGAGCUCGUUAAGCAGGCAGGUGUGAGCCUGGUUGCUAUAGUGACCGCACCCAAUGGCUCCAUACACACGUACACAGACAUGCGCCUCACUUUUGCUGCUUAAAAUGAACAGAAAAGUCAGGCCGAAACAAAUCGUUCCCAAAUGAAAAGUAAAAGUCGUAUUGACAAAAUUCUUUCACCGUGAGCGACAGCAGCUUCUAGUCUACUGAAUUCUCAGUUUUCAUGCCUGUGGAUUUAUUAUAUGGACGUGGUGACAGUGGAAAGACACCAUGCUCUUCUGAUUUUCAAACCAACCUUCUGAGCCAUUUAACAUUAGAGUCUAUGGAAGAGUUGGAGGGAGGAGGCUGUGCAUUGGUGACAUUUAUGAAAGAACCAUAACACCUACUACAAUAGUAAACACAUUGGAUGAAAGAGGACAGCCAUGGCUACGUUUUGAGGGUAAAAUCAUACCUGUAGAGCAAACGCUGCGGACACAGCAGCAGUUUUAAAAAAGAUUUUAAGAUUAAUUUUUUUGCUCCUCUCACUCUAGCAGUUGAGCUGCCUCACUCUAGCCCCAACAUUCCGUCCCAUACACACCCAUUAUAAACUCUGAAACGGGUGAAAAAACAUCAUGAAACUUAAACUGGAACUGAAGAAAAAGUAUAAUAGAUAUUGAAAAGAUAAAUACAAGUUGAAUAGUUGAAUGUCUUGUCUUCGUUUUAAAGUUUGAAUGGUGGCUCUAUGUCAAUGUAUGUGGAAGUAGUAAGAGUUUAAAAAUGAGUAAGUUGAAUGAGGAUUUGAAGGGUCUCCCCAUUGAAAUACAUUAUAAAUUUUUGUUGAAUAAAGUUGAAUAAAAUUAAAAAUAUAAAUGUUAAAAAUAUGAAAAAUAGAAGCAGUGUUGUCCAAAAGAAUAGGAAUCUAACGGUGUUUGAAUGGUUUUUCUAAGUUGAA